AUCAACAUGACAAAAUCCGCCCCAUUAA
rnacentral:sRNA from 1 species